GUACACCUAUGACGUAGUUGCGCACCUCACGAUCCAACCCCGCCGACUAACCCAUACCAACGCGAACAGGUACAGUACAACCCUUCCGUCGGGAGCGUUGGCCGACACGUCAUUCUUAGCCUCUACAGAUAAAUAGUGGUUAGAUAACAUUAUAACGUGCAUAGUGCAAAUCCCCCUUCUUAUAUCUAAAUAUCCACGAAUAUAUUUAGAGCAAGUGUGAAUUCUGCUAGUGUUAGCUUACAUCUAUUGAAUUAUUCUAACUUAAACGCUACGUUAUACCAUACAUACCUACAUGCAAAGUACGGAUGUUUGUAUAAAGUACGGAGAGUUCAUCAUUAGCACCAUAUAGCGAUUACCGAUCAUUGUCGGCUCAAUAGGUUUCUCCCCAUAAACCCUGCACAGCGGGACUAAACG